GUGUUGGUGGUUCAGUGGUAGAAUUCUCGCCUUCUAAGUGGGAGACCCGAGUUCGAUUCCUGGCCAGUGCA
rfam:Loxodonta africana unplaced genomic scaffold scaffold_22, whole genome shotgun sequence.